GGGCUGCCAUGGGGGUAGCUGCUCCACUGUGGUCUCCUCAUGGGCUGGAGAAGAAUCUGCUCCAACAUUUGGAGCUUGUCCUCCCAGAAAGACAUGACCUAAAGAAGCUACUAUAAGAAUCAUAGAAUCAAUGAAGUUGGAAAAGACCCUCAAGACCAUCAGGUCCAACCAUCAGCCUGACUUGCUGAGUCCCAUCACUAAACCACGUCCCAACUUGAGACCAUUUCCUCGCAUCACUUGUCACUUGUGAAAAGAAACUGACACCCUCCUCACUGCAGCCUCCUUUCAGGUAGUUGUAGACAGCAGUGGGGUCCAGGAAGUGGUGCUGCCAUCCAGAGGGACCUGGGCAGGCUGGAGUCAUGGGCUGCCAGGAACAUCCUGCAGAUCCACGAGGGGAAGUGCCAAGUGGUGUCCCUGCAGAGGAACAACCUCAGGGACAGCAAGCUGACCAGCUGAGAAUCGAUGUGACAGAACAGACCCUGGGCCAGAAAUUGCCCUUGCAGCAAAACCAGGCUGAUGGUACGCAGGCUGCAUCAGGAGGGAUCCUUCCUGCGGGAAAUUGGUAAUCAGCGGCAUGUUGUCACACCUCGUCACAACAGUGGCUAUUUCCAAGCAACGAGUGAGGCGCUUCAUCUCCCUGGGAUCCCAUGUACCCUUCUGCUUUAAAAAGAGAGGCAGCCCAAGGAACUUAAGGCCCUGAUGCCAUUCCUCUUGCAUUGUGCACAUGGUUUGUCAGCCUGGACUAAAAGGUGCACUGCUGUUUGAAUGCUAUGGAAAGCUGCGUGGAAAAGCAGUGCCUCCAAGGAUGCCUUCUGUGAUCACCCCUGUUAAGCACCUGCUCUCCCUCUUUGUUGCCUUUUGCUGGCCCAGCUGCCAGGUCUGUUUUUAUAUUUGAGACUGUAGCAGUACCUUGACUGUUCACAUCCCUGUCUAUGGAGGUACUGGUGGUGAGGGCACCUGUUAGCGAAAUGGUGGCAACAGCCCUGCUAUCUAACAUUUGUCUGAAGAAAUUGGACGUUAUUCUCAGUGAACAUAAUAAGAUAACUUUCCUGCACUGCCUAGAGAUGACAUUUUAAAGUAACAAGAGUUAUGUUAAACUAGAAAAAGAAAAUUAAGUGAAUGCUUGCUGGGUAUUGUGUUGAUCAGUUGAGAUCCUUUCAGUCUACGCAAAUGGUUCUUCUCUGUGGCAUGGUAGGUUUGUCCUGAACCUUGUCCUUUCAUUUGUUUCAUUUUGUUUUUAUCAAACUAUCAUUUAUGAAAGCAAUCUGGCAAAUAUGGUACAAUACAGACUGACUUGUGGUAUUUCAUCUGAUCAGAUAGAUGAUGCCCAUUUCAAUUUCUGUGUGUGCCAAAGUUGAAGCCCAGUACCAUCAUUUUAUCUGCAAGCAUUGUAUGUUUACAUUUCCAGACUGUUUUAGCAGAAGUGCCUGGCUAUUUGGGGAUAAUGCAACCUGUUCGUGCUGUGUACUGUGCAUGAAAAAAGUCCACAAGCACAGGGCUUCCUGUCGAAAGGAUUUGGACACCACCAGUCUGACACCAGAGCUUUGGAGCCACAUCCCUGAAAGAUUUUCUUUGAAGUAUCAAAAGAUUUACAGGGGGCCUGUGGUCUGAACACUUCCAGUGUGGUGAAAUAGAAGAAACCAGAAACCAGUCAUGCCUUCUAAGGAAAUCUUCUGUAACAACUGUGGAGAAGGCAAAGAACCUAAAAGAAGAAAGUGCAGGUGAAUUCCAGGUCACGGCAGAGCAGAAGUCAUAGCUCAAGCUCUGAGCAGGUAGGAAUUUGUUUUCAAUCCAGGUCUUAUCUUGUCAUGCUCAUGAAAUGGUCUGCUUUCUUCUGAUACUUCAACCCCACCUCCUUUCUGCUGGCUGUAGAGCAAAUGCGCUGGCUUUGUACAUACCCUAAAACUGAGUAAUGAUGUGGGAGCACUGAUGGAUGAAUACGCAGACUGGUCCUGAGCUGCAGGUGCUGAGCUUGGUGUUAUCAGCACCUGUAACAUAGUUUUAAAUAUUUGUUGUAUUAAAUGUGGAUAGAUAUUGCAUUUGUGGGAUUAGGUGAAGCUCAGUGGGACUUCUGAUCUGACACUGCCUUCCUCUCCCUACAACAGUGGAGCUACUAGACAGUCCCCAUGGCAGAGGUUUUAAAUACGUCCAAGCACUGCACAAGGGAAACAGUGAGGCAUCAUCCAGAGAACUGGAAGAGUGAUGGGAA